rnacentral:rRNA from 1 species
AGUCAUAUGAAGUCGAAAGGUCUGGGAAGGCCAACCGUAGGGGGUAAUAGUCCCGUAGACGACAAUAUGAGUACUGGCGGUGUAUCCUGAGUACGGCGGAACACGUGGAAUUCCGUCGGAAUCUAGGAGGACCAUCUCCUAAGGCUAAAUACUCUCUAGUGACCGAUAGUGAACCAGUACCGUGAGGGAAAGGUGAAAAGAACCCCGGGAGGGGAGUGAAAUAGAACCUGAAACCGUGUGCUUACAAAUAGUCAGAGCCCGUUAAUGGGUGAUGGCGUGCCUUUUGUAGAAUGAACCGGCGAGUUACGUAUACAUGCAAGGUUAAGCAGAUGAUGCGCAGCCGUAGCGAAAGCGAGUCUGAAUAGGGCGUUAAGUUAGUUGGAUUAGACCCGAAACCGAGUGAUCUAGGUAUGAGCAGGCUGAAGGUAAGGUAACACUUACUGGAGGGCCGAAC